AUUGCACAACUUAAGUUUGUCGAGGAUCGUUUUUUUAAACUGAAUCUUGCUCUUUUUUGGCGCUUGAAACCCUCGAUGAAUGUGUCAAUGUGCAAAGAUAAAAUAUUGUUCUCUGUUGAUCAGUGAUUUUGGCUUUGCUUUGGAGAAGUAUCUUUUCCCUUUCCCAUAAUUGACUUUUGUCCUAAAAGUUGUUCGGAGAGAAUAAGCAUAGUUGAAGUUGCGACUUUUUAUUUUUUUUUUGCUUUUGCAUGGAUACCAUAUCUAUGCACGUCUCAUGUUUAUUGGACCUUCAACAUUGGUUUUUCCUUCUGUUUUGAGGUUAAUAUUUUUUUCUCUACUUUUGAUAUGUCACAUAUUAAUACCGAUUAUGUUCUUAAUUUCCUCAUCGCUGUUGUUUUAAUUCGACUCAUUUGAGUUCUUCAUUUGUGUUUGGUUGGAUAUUCAGUUUGAGGUAAACAACAUAGUUGGUAUGUGCAGGAAAUGAUUGAAAAUCACAUGAACAUCUGGGUGAUCGUACAGAAGUGAAAAUACCUGAGGCAGUUUUGUACAAAAAAGAAGCUA
rnacentral:snoRNA from 1 species